rnacentral:rRNA from 1 species
UACAGAGGUCUCAAGCGUUGUUCGGAUUCAUUGGGCGUAAAGGGUGCGUAGGUGGCGUGGUAAGUCGGGUGUGAAAUUUCGGAGCUUAACUCCGAAACUGCAUUCGAUACUGCUGUGCUUGAGAACUGGAGAGGAGACUGGAAUUUACGGUGUAGCAGUGAAAUGCGUAGAGAUCGUAAGGAAGACCAGUGGCGAAGGCGGGUCUCUGGACAGUUACUGACGCUGAGGCACGAAGGCCAGGGGAGCAAACGGG